rnacentral:rRNA from 1 species
GACGAACGCUGGCGGCGUGCCUAAUACAUGCAAGUCGAGCGGAAGUUGGAGAGCUUGCUCUUCAACUUUAGCGGCGGACGGGUGAGUAACACGUGGGCAACCUGCCCUGCAGAUCGGGAUAACUCCGGGAAACCGGUGCUAAUACCGAAUAGUUUUCGCCACCUCCUGGUGGCGAACGGAAAGACGGUUUCGGCUGUCACUGCAGGAUGGGCCCGCCGCGCCUUAGCCAGUUGGGGGGGUAACGGCCCACCAAGGGGACGAUGCGUAGCCGGCCUGAGAGGGUGAUCGGCCACACUGGGACUGAGACACGGCCCAGACUCCUACGGGAGGCAGCAGUAGGGAAUCUUCCGCAAUGGACGAAAGUCUGACGGAGCAACGCCGCGUGAGUGACGAAGGUUUUCGGAUCGUAAAACUCUGUUGUGAGGGAAGAACAAGUACCAACUAACUACUGGUACCUUGACGGUACCUCACCAGAAAGCCACGGCUAACUACGUGCCAGCAGCCGCCGUAA